rnacentral:tRNA from 1 species
GCGGGCUUAGCUCAGUCGGUUAGAGCGCCAGGUUGUGGCCCUGGAGGUCGUGGGUUCGAGACCCAUAGCUCGCC